rnacentral:rRNA from 1 species
UGGAGAGUUUGAUCCUGGCUCAGAUUGAACGCUGGCGGCAGGCUUAACACAUGCAAGUCGAGCGGGGAAAGGUAGCUUGCUACCUGACCUAGCGGCGGACGGGUGAGUAAUGCUUAGGAAUCUGCCUAUUAGUGGGGGACAACAUUCCGAAAGGAAUGCUAAUACCGCAUACGCCCUACGGGGGAAAGCAGGGGAUCUUCGGACCUUGCGCUAAUAGAUGAGCCUAAGUCAGAUUAGCUAGUUGGUGGGGUAAAGGCCUACCAAGGCGACGAUCUGUAGCGGGUCUGAGAGGAUGAUCCGCCACACUGGGACUGAGACACGGCCCAGACUCCUACGGGAGGCAGCAGUGGGGAAUAUUGGACAAUGGGCGCAAGCCUGAUCCAGCCAUGCCGCGUGUGUGAAGAAGGCCUUUUGGUUGUAAAGCACUUUAAGCGAGGAGGAGGCUACUUGGAUUAAUACUCUAGGAUAGUGGACGUUACUCGCAGAAUAAGCACCGGCUAACUCUGUGCCAGCAGCCGCGGUA